CUCUGACGGCGUUCUCUUCUCUUGAAGCUCCAUCUCUGAAUCAACCAUCUUAGAAGCUCUCAUAUAUGUCAAGGAGUUGUCGAUACCAGAUCAAUUCCAGCUUCUCUCUCGCUGCACUACCAAUUGCUCUCUUAUUCUGGGUAAUUGGGUCUGUGCUACCAUAUUUUAGUUCCACGUUUCAAGUUCGGGUCUCAACUUAAUUCCACGAGUAUCAUUAUGAGGAAUUUCGUGCUUGCUACGGUAUCUUUUCUGCCAAUUACAUUCCAGUCAGAAAGUAUGUUUCUGUGGAUCCUGAAAGCUUAUAAUUUUUAGACAUCCUAUCUUUUCUGCCAAUUAUAUGCACUCUAUUUGAAGACCAACUAAUUUGAAUUACAUAUUGCUGGUUGGAAGACCUCUCUAAAGGCCCUGUGGUUGCAUUCUAGACUUGAUUCAAUCUAAUUUCUGACUUGAAUGGUGUUGGGUGGUUAAAAUUCAAAAGUGCAGCACUACAUCUCUCAAAUAGUUGGAGUUCUACACGUACAGAUGGUUUCUUUUACUGUUCUAGACUCUUAUUGUGUAUUUCACAAUUUUGAUGAGUAUUCAUUUACAAAUGUUCAACUAUUCAAGUGUAGAUGGUUUCUUUUAUUCUGUAUUUCACAAUUUUGAUGAGUAUUAAUUUACAAAUGUUCAAUUGUUCAAGUUUUUGA
rnacentral:lncRNA from 1 species